GGUGUUCGAUUUGAUUGUGCUUAAAUGAGUUGAUUUUGGAGGGACAUUAGCUCCCUGAAACGAAAUUCUACAUAUGCGUGCUACUGAUUUCGAGCAUAAAGGCAGCCUAUUGUACUCUUGUUCCAUUUAUGUGUUAAAGCUCUAACAAUGCUACUACUGUUAUGAGAUUUCUAUAGCUAUGAUUCUGUGUUCUUGAGCUAGCAUGAUGUUCUAAACAAGGGCAGAGGGUGUGCUUGUGUUAUAUUGAUUGUGAUUCUUAAGUUGUGGUGUCUCUAUAUGAUGACAUGAAAAUUGAUUGGGAGAAAAAGAAAAUGGAGGUGUAUUACCUCUGGAAAACGAAGGAGUGGCUGACUUUGCGGCUGUUCACUACUUGCUCCACCCUCUAACUCUCUGUUUUUGCUGAAAUUUUGAAGUGUGUGUGAAAGGAGUUGGUAUGUGGUGUGGAGAGGUCUUUAUAGGCUGAGCUUUGGUGUACUAUGGGGAAUUAAUUUGGCUGUUAUACUACCUUGUUCCCUUCUUGCAGAGAUCCCCCUUUUGACUAUGUUUCUGCAGCAAGAUAUACUUGAGAAUUGGCUCUAUUUGAGUACUUAGUACUUGGCUAUUAACUCCCAUUGUUUGCUUGUGGCUGGUGAGAAACAGGUGCUGCAUUAGGGUGGAGGAUUUGCAGGCUGGACUUGCCCCCUUUUGGGUUGGGAGGGGACUUGGGCUGCCAAGCUGCUGUCCGAGACGGGCUUGAUGCCUCGGCCCAACGGGCUGAUCGGAGAGGGCUGCGACUUCCGGCCCGGAAGAAGAGACCCGUUGCCAUUUGUUCCAUGCAUAUUUCAUCUUUUUUUUUUGUUUCUUAGUUGUCAUUAAUUAAGCCUUGUUCUAAGUAUUGUAGUAUUUGAACAUUAGUUGCUCGUUAAUUGCAUUUCGAAAUUUCUAUUCGAAAAUUCGUGAUAUUUUACAAUGAAAAUUCCAAUUGUUUAGUUCAUUUGAUUACUUUA